UUUGAAACCCUCUGAAACUCACAUUUCUUUCCUUCUCAGAUUUCCCAAUCUCUCUUUAUUUUUUAUUUUAGGUUUCUCUGUUAUACCUGAUUGAGGUUUUUCACGCUGACCAGCUCCAAUCCUCCCAUUUCAAAACACUCUCCGUUCACUCUCGCAUUCCCAAAUGAUUUCUGUGUCACAGUUGGAUUUGAGUGGUUGGACCCAAUCGAUUUUGCUAGUGUUCUUUGCUGCUUCAAGGAUCCAAAGUGUUAAAAAGGAACAUCCUUUUGGGAUUGCUAGAAGCAGACCUCACUUAAGCCCUGGUGGAAGAACUGAGGACAAUAAUAAUAUGAGGCGACAAAUGCAUGGAGUUGCUUUAGAUGUAAAUUUGUAGAUGCUUGAUGAGAACAGAUAUCUUUUAUCUUCUCUCUUGCAUACUUCAGAAUACAAAACCUGUUGACCAUCAGUAGCUAGUUCGUUUAACUUAUGCAGUUCUUUGUUGGUGGCAUGUAAGUGAGCUGGUGAAGUUGGGUUACUCUGCUGAUUGGAAGAAGGUGCUUGUUGACUUCUUUGGAACGCAGCAAAUUGUUAGGAGCGGGGAUCUCAUGAUGUGUAUAGGGGAAUUAGAGACAAACACUUACACGUUGGAAGUGGUGUGUCAUCCCCCAAUGAUAUAAGAAGAUCAAGUGGUGAAAGAAAAAUAGAUUAGGAUUAGGAUAACAAUUUUAAAUGUAAAAUUGCCUUAUGGUUUAACAAUUUUCAAUAUUUUCUUUUUUUUUCUUUCAUAUUCAAAAACUGAUAUUUUGACGUAAUUAUCAAAUGCACCGUGUGAUUGUAAUUGUGAAUGAAUGAUUUAAGUACUUUGUUA